rnacentral:tRNA from 1 species
UGCAUCGGCUGGGAAUCGAACUCUGGCCGCCCGCGUAGCAGGCGAGCAUUCUACCACUGAACCACCGAUGC